UUGUGGGUGUCCGAGGGUAUAUGCUGCACCUCCCUUAACUACUGGUGCUGGAGUAUUCGGUGGAGUUGGGCUUCUGAUCCAGAAUGUUGUAGCAGUUGG
ensembl:ncRNA F58A4.18 ncRNA